GACGAACGCUGGCGGCGUGCUUAACACAUGCAAGUCGAACGGAAAGGCCCUGCUUUUGUGGGGUGCUCGAGUGGCGAACGGGUGAGUAACACGUGAGUAACCUGCCCUUGACUUUGGGAUAACUUCAGGAAACUGGGGCUAAUACCGGAUAGGAGCUCCUGCUGCAUGGUGGGGGUUGGAAAGUUUCGGCGGUUGGGGAUGGACUCGCGGCUUAUCAGCUUGUUGGUGGGGUAGUGGCUUACCAAGGCUUUGACGGGUAGCCGGCCUGAGAGGGUGACCGGCCACAUUGGGACUGAGAUACGGCCCAGACUCCUACGGGAGGCAGCAGUGGGGAAUAUUGCACAAUGGGCGGAAGCCUGAUGCAGCAACGCCGCGUGCGGGAUGACGGCCUUCGGGUUGUAGUCCGCUUUCGCCUGUGACGAAGCGUGAGUGACGGUAAUGGGUAAAGAAGCACCGGCUAACUACGUG
rnacentral:rRNA from 1 species